ACAGGUGAUGUUUUGAACCAACGACGGGCGGAACCCGUCUUCCACAUCCUUGGUUGAACCGACGACGGGCGGAACCCGUCUUCCACAUUUCAUUUCCGGGGUUUCCCCAAAGUCAAAAUUAAGCCUGAUUGCGCGCAGGUGGGGAUAAUUUACACAGCGGUUGCUAAUAGGCUGACAAGGAGAAGAGUCAGUGUAUAAAAACACCUUUGAAGACUUCAAACGGUGUGCUUGUGGUGUACUUUGUAUACGUUGUGUUGCUGCUUUGCAGACGGACCACGCUGGCUGGAUUGUGUAUCUGGGGAAAAGAGGAAGAGGGACAGUCAGUUGACGAAGGAAUACUGAGGGAUUUCAUCAGAGAAAGAGUGGACACAGAGCUAUCAAGAGUGUAGCUAAUAACAGUUGUUGACAACUAAGCGUGAGUAACAGCUGUGGUAAUUAUCUGUGCAAUACUUGUACGAAGAGUUGUUUGGUGUGUUCCUUUGUGUUUUUGAGGUCCCUGGCCCCACUGGAGAGGAGAGCGUGGGCGAGCCGCGGGUUGACCGGAAGCACGGACGAAGCAUCUGGUAGGAAGCACCAUUCACCAGCAGAAUAGUGGCCCUGUGGGAAAACGGAAGCACAGCGUUCAAACUGCCUAGCCUCCGACGAGUCACGAGACGACGACAUCUGUUGUGGCCUGGGUCCUAAGGAGAGCGAGAAAAUUGAGCCCUGUGCCCGGGGUGUGUCAACGAGAGCUUGGUUCAUCCAUAGAGCAGACAGUGGUGAAACCCAGUGAGUAUUACCAAGAGUGUACCGUGCGGACUGUGGGUUGUAGCGGUGUGUGUAUUGACCUCUCCAACAGAAGCUCGUGGUGAGCGGAGCCCCGACGAGAGUUCGCCCCAACUCGUGACCCCGGUCGUGGAAGAAGGAGGGGGGAGUUUGGGAAGCGUUCGGCUCCGUGUCAUCGGACCCACUAGUCCCUACGACGCCCGGACAGCCUGAGUGGAUGGGCGAAGGAAUACGGUGCACCAACACUGUAGCGAAAAUCCACUGUUUGCAAGUAAAGCUCUGUGUGCAUGAAGAUCCUCAGUGCUGUGAGUAACAUAACCUGUGAAGUAAAUCUGUUCUGUGCUUAUAGCAAUUACCUACCUGUACAAGUAAAGCUCUGUGUGCAUGAAGAUCCCCAGGGCUGUGAGUAACAUAACCUGUGAAGUAAACCUGUCCUGUGCUUAUAGCAAUCCCCUACCUGUACAAGUGAAGCUCUGUGCGCAUGAAGAUCCCCAGUGCUGUGAGUAACGUAACCUGUGAAGUAAACCUGUUCUGUGCUUAUAGCAAUCACCUACCUGUACAAGUGAAGCUCGGUGUGCAUGAAGAUUCCCAGUGCUGUGAGUAACGUAACCUGUGAAGUAAACCUGUUCUGUGCUUAUAGCAAUCACCUACCUGUACAAGUGAAGCUCUGUGUGCAUGAAGAUCCCCAGUGCUGUGAGUAACGUAACCUGUGAAGUAAACUUGUUCUGUGCUUAUAGCAAUCACCUACCUGUACAAGUGAAGCUCUGUGUGCAUGGAGAUCCCCAGUGCUGUGAGUAACGUAACCUGUGAAGUAAACCUGUUCUGUGCUUAUAGCAGUUACCUACCUGUGCAAGUGAAGCUCCGUGUGAGCAAAGAUCUCCAGUGUUGUGAGUAAUAUAACCUGUGAAGUGAAACUGUUCUGUACUCGUAGCAAUUACCUACCUGUGCCGGUGGAGCUCUGUGUGGGAACGAAGAUCCUCCAGUACUGUGAGUAACGUAACCUGUGGAGUGAACUUGACCUGUGGCCAUAGCCAUCACUUACCGUUCCAACGAAGGUCCCGUGUUGAACGAACAGCGACUAGUAACAAAGUACCUUACCCUUGUCUGACUGAUAUUUGAUUCUGCCUCCAGGAGAAGCGGAGCGCGCCACGGAUUGUUGGGCCAGAGCCCCCAAAGGAGCCCCUGUCCCCAGUCUUUCCCUCAAGUGGCCCUGGAGGCGAAGAAGAGACAUUUUAGUUUUAAAUUGCCCUUUCCCCUUUCCCCCUUUCCUUUUAAAUAUUUAAUAAAGUUUGUUUUAAUUAUAG